GCUUGCUUUGGCAGCCCUAUCUUAGACUGGACAAAGAAGAUUAGCAUGGCCCCUGCACAAGGAUGACAUGCAAAUUCAUGUAGCAUUCCGUAUUUUU
rnacentral:snRNA from 1 species